rnacentral:rRNA from 1 species
UGGUGGAGUGAUUUGUCUGGUUAAUUCCGAUAACGAACGAGACCUCAGCCUGCUAAUUAGUGAUGCAAAUGAUAACAUCCGCAAGGGGAGGGUUCUGGCGAGAGCGUGGGGGCAACUCUGCGAUCUAGUUGGAAAACUCGUUUUCAUUUGUGAGAGUGGGGUGGUUCGCCAUUCUACUCGUUAAUGACUUCUUAGAGGGACACUUGGUGUUUAACCAAGGGAAGUUUGAGGCAAUAACA